rnacentral:rRNA from 1 species
GGGAUUCAUAAUUUUUGACGUUUCUCAGCCCUAUUGUAGUAGAGAUGUCAUUCUAAGGGAUUCAUAAUUUUUGACGUUUCUCAGCCCUAUUGUAGUAGAGAUGUCAUUCUAAUUUUUCUCCCCUAUCUUUUUUUUGGAAGGUAGUGGGCUUCCCCCAUGGCAGUGGGGGGUGGGGAAGAAUUUGGGUUUUAUUUCGGAGAGGGAGCGUGAGAGAUGUCCCCCACACACGAAGGAGGCAGCAGGCGCGAAUAUUCCACCCUCGCCACGCGGGGAGGUAGAGACAAAAUAUCACAAUAGGGCCCUUUGGGUUUUGUAAUUGGAAUGAGAACAAUGUACAAUCCUUAUCGAUAAACAAUUGGAGGGCAAGUCUGGUGCCAGCAGCCGCGGUAAUCCAGCUCCAAAGCGAUC